UACGAAGGGGGCUAGCGUUGCUCGGAAUCACUGGGCGUAAAGGGCGCGUAGGCGGGCCUUUAAGUCAGGGGUGAAAUCCUGGAGCUCAACUCCAGAACUGCCUUUGAUACUGAGGAUCUUGAGUUCGGGAGAGGUGAGUGGAACUGCGAGUGUAGAGGUGAAAUUCGUAGAUAUUCGCAAGAACACCAGUGGCGAAGGCGGCUCACUGGCCCGAUACUGACGCUGAGGCACGAAAGCGUGGGGAGCAAACAGG
rnacentral:rRNA from 1 species